CUGCCUAUAACUUCAUGCAGCUCCUUCUGGCCUCUCUCCUCACGGUGGGUCCCCAGUAGCUGUGACUGAAGGCCAAACUAAGGCUUCAGAUACUCAGGAGUCCUGAGUGUCCUGGCAGUGGCUCGGGUACUAGUGCGGGAGGGUGCAGGCGACCAGGCGCCCUGACGUGUGGAUCACCAUUUUCUCUUCUGUACAAGUUGAAAUUGUUUGCAUCUCUACCAGACAAACAUCAGUUACAACUUACUGAUUUUCUGGGAGUUUGCAUCUAGAGUCUGAGUCAAUAAAUUUAAAUCUAAAGUGCCCAUCCAAUCACCUUGACCAGCCCUCAAGUGUGGCCCCAUCCUCCCUGCUGGGAACCUCAACUCUGGACGGAUUACAGCAGCCCCUCUCCUGGAGUUGCCUGGG
rnacentral:lncRNA from 1 species